UUCGGACCUCACGCUAUCAGAUGAGCCUAGGUCGGAUUAGCUAGUUGGUGAGGUAAAGGCUCACCAAGGCGACGAUCCGUAACUGGUCUGAGAGGAUGAUCAGUCACACUGGAACUGAGACACGGUCCAGACUCCUACGGGAGGCAGCAGUGGGGAAUAUUGGACAAUGGGCGAAAGCCUGAUCCAGCCAUGCCCGCGUGUGUGAAGAAGGUCUUCGGAUUGUAAAGCACUUUAAGUUGGGAGGAAGGGCAGUAAGUUAAUACCUUGCUGUUUUGACGUUACCAACAGAAUAAGCACCGGCUAACUUCGUGCCAGCAGCCGCGGUAAUACGAAGGGUGCAAGCGUUAAUCGGAAUUACUGGGCGUAAAGCGCGCGUAGGUGGUUCGUUAAGUUGGAUGUGAAAGCCCCGGGCUCAACCUGGGAACUGCAUCCAAAACUGGCGAGCUAGAGUAUGGCAGAGGGUGGUGGAAUUUCCUGUGUAGCGGUGAAAUGCGUAGAUAU
rnacentral:rRNA from 1 species